rnacentral:rRNA from 1 species
AUGCCCUUUUCUACUUUGAUUGAGAAUAAUAAUGAAUCUAUUGAUGUGAAUUUUAUUGGUACGAACAAUUUUGGUAACAAUGCGUAUAGAGGAAAUUUCAAUCCUAGGCCUUAUCCUAGUAAUCCCUCUAAUAAUUAUGGUAAUUCCUACAGCAAUUCUUAUGGAAAUUAUAAUAAGAUCCCCUCUGAUUUUGAAUCUAAUAUUAAAGAAUUUAUUACUUCGCAAAAGAAUUUUAAUGCUAUGAUUGAAGAAAAAUUGCUUAAGAUUGAUGAUUUGGCUAGGAACGUUGAUAGAAUUUCUCUUGAUGUUGAUUCUUUGAAACUUAGAUCUAUUCCACCUAAGCAUGAUAUCAAUGAGUCUCUCAAAGCCAUGAGAAUUUCCAUUGAUGAGUGCAAAGAAAGAGCCGCUAGGAUGCGUGCUAAGAAAGAUGCCUUUAUAAGAGCGUGUUCUUCUAGUUCCUAUGAAAAUAAAGGUGAAGAUCUAAAAGUUAUUAAUGUGUACCCUAUUAAAUCUUUGUUUUGCAAUAUGAAUCUUGAUAAUGAUGGGACUGAAUAUGAUCCACCUUUACCUAGAAGGCGUUCCAAGAAUGCGGAAUUUGUUGAUCUUGAUGCUAAAUUUGAUAAAAGUGGGAUUGAAGAAAUUAAAACUUUAGAUGUUGCUAAACCCACUAUUAUGGAUUUCAAGGAAUUUAACUAUGAAAAUUGCUCUUUGAUUGAUUGUAUUUCCUUGUUGCAAUCCGUGCUAAAUUCUCCUCACGCUUAUAGUCAAAAUAAAGCCUUUACUAAACAUAUCGUUGAUGCCUUGAUGCAAUCUUAUGAAGAAAAACUUGAAUUGGAAGUUUCUAUCCCUAGAAAACUUUAUGAUGAGUGGGAACCAACUAUUAAAAUUAAAAUUAAAGAUCAUGAAUGCUAUGCUUUAUGUGAUUUGGGUGCUAGUGUUUCCACGAUUCCAAAGACUUUGUGUGAUUUGUUAGGUUUCCGUGAUUUUGAUGAUUGCUCUCUAAACUUGCGCCUUGCAGAUUCCAUUAUUAAAAAACCUAUGGGAAGAAUUAAUGAUGUUCUUAUUGUUGCAAAUAGGAAUUAUGUGCCCGUAGAUUUUAUUGUUCUUGACAUAGAUUGUAAUCCUUCAUGUCCUAUUAUUCUUGGUAGACCUUUCCUUAGAAUGAUUGGUGCAAUUAUUCAUAUGAAGGAAGGAAAUAUUAGAUUCCAAUUUCCAUUAAGGAAAGGCAUGGAAAAAUUUCCUAGAAAUAAAAUUAAAUUUCCUUAUGAAUCUAUUAUGAGAGCCACUUAUGGAUUGCAUACCAAAUAUGGCAAUACCUAG